rnacentral:lncRNA from 1 species
GAUCUUUAUCUACUUAGGGUAAUACGGAUUCCUAACUACCACUGUGGAAUGACCAAAUUCAUUUCAUUUUCAGAACAUUUAUAGCUUGCUAAACUACAACACAUUUACAGCUUGCGAAACCAUGACACAUUCUAUGACCACAACUGUGUCAGCUACAAUAGUCCUACAUAUAAACUAUAGUCACAAUUAUACGUCUCCAAGAUGACCCCUAAAAUCAUAUUGUGUAACCACUCUCGUCAUAAAAUACGCCAUCAUCCAUAAGGAGCGAUUCUCUCACGUCUUUUCACACCAGAUGGGAGAGAAACAAAAUCCCUCAAAGACAAAAGCUCUAACGAAUUUAAUUUUAAUACCAUGUAUGCAAAUGUCGAUAUUCAUUUUCACAUGUUCAUCAAAUAACAUUAUGCUUCUUACAUCAUCUCUUAUCAUAUUU